AACUCUCCAACUUCCUGCUCCUGCGAACUAGUUCAGGGCACUGAUGGAGCAGCAGAUGAUGGUGACCGGAGUUUUCAUGCGCUCCUGCGACCUAAGUUAAAGGGUAGUCAAAUGCACCUUCGCGGUACAUCUUAUGACUUGAAGCUAAACAUAUGAUGCUCAUAAGGCCUGCCCACUGAUCCAACUUCUUGCUGCUGAGAACUACAUCUGGGGGGAUGCUACAGCGUAGGAUGAUGAUCACCAAAGUUUGGGCUGCUGCUGGGGCACUCCUGCAAACUAAGAUAAAGGCUCGUCAAUGUGCCAACUUCCUGCUCCUACGAACCAUGUUCAUGACCCUGACGGAGCAGCAGAUGAUGGUGACCGGAGUUUAAUGUGCUCCUACGACUUAAGUUAAAGGAUAGUCAAACACACCUUCAUGGUACCAGCCAUUGAGCAACCAAAGCAGCAGGCUCUACUCCUAUAUCGCCAUACAACCCCUCGAACCUUCCUAUUCCGUGAAGCUGAAUAUUUCUUAUUAGCAUGGUUCUUCUUGUAAUGAAAUGGUUGACUCAUAACAAGGGCAAGCUGUUGGAUUAGCCCUUAGAGAGAGAGACCCUUGUCACUUUGACCCUUUAUUGUGAAUUUGUGAUAUUUUACGACUGAUCUCACUGAAAUCUUGAAUCUGCAGUAGCUGUGUUAUGUAUUCUCUGUAAAAAUGAGAGGGUGUGUUUGUGC